rnacentral:tRNA from 1 species
GCCUAGCUGGCUCAGGGUAGAGCAUGAGACUCUUGAUCUCAGGGUUUGAGGUUAAGCCCCACAUUAGGUG